UACGUAGGGUGCGAGCGUUGUCCGGAAUUAUUGGGCGUAAAGAGCUUGUAGGCGGUUUGUCGCGUCUGCUGUGAAAAUCCGGGGCUCAACCCCGGACUUGCAGUGGGUACGGGCAGGCUAGAGUGUGGUAGGGGAGACUGGAAUUCCUGGUGUAGCGGUGAAAUGCGCAGAUAUCAGGAGGAACACCGAUGGCGAAGGCAGGUCUCUGGGCCGAUACUGACGCUGAGGAGCGAAAGCGUGGGGAGCGAACAGG
rnacentral:rRNA from 1 species